UAUUGUUAAGAAAAGACUGAAGGUGGCAAAAACAAUGGGAUAAGGAGAAAAAAGAUCGGUGGUUUUACAGAAUUCAAAGGAAAGUGGGAGAGAUGAGAAGUGCAGG